CACCCUACGGGCAGCCUGUGAUGUUAAUAUAGUUGAAAACAGCAGGCAGGGAGGUCAACACCCUACAGGCAGCCUGUGAUGUUAAUAUAGUUGAAAACAGCAGACAGGGAGGUCAACACCCUACAGGCAGCCUGUGAUGUUAAUAUAGUUGAAAACAGCAGGCAGGGAGGUCAACACCCUACAGGCAGCCUGUGAUGUUAAUAUAGUUGAAAACAGCAGACAGGGAGGUCAACACCCUACAGGCAGCCUGUGAUGUUAAUAUAGUUGAAAACAGCAGGCAGGGAGGUCAACACCCUACAGGCAGCCUGUGAUGUUAAUAUAGUUGAAAACAGCAGACAGGGAGGUCAACACCCUACAGGCAGCCUGUGAUGUUAAUAUAGUUGAAAACAGCAGGCAGGGAGGUCAACACCCUACAGGCAGCCUGUGAUGUUAAUAUAGUUGAAAACAGCAGGCAGGGAGGUCAACACCCUACAGGCAGCCUGUGAUGUUAAUAUAGUUGAAAACAGCAGGCAGGGAGGUCAACACCCUACAGGCAGCCUGUGAUGUUAAUAUAGUUGAAAACAGCAGGCAGGGAGGUCAACACCCUACAGGCAGCCUGUGAUGUUAAUAUAGUUGAAAACAGCAGACAGGGAGGUCAACACCCUACAGGCAGCCUGUGAUGUUAAUAUAGUUGAA